CCUACGGGAGGCUGCAGUGAGGAAUAUUGGUCAAUGGGCGCGAGCCUGAACCAGCCAAGUAGCGUGAAGGAUGACUGCCCUCCGGGUUGUAAACUUCUUUUAUAAAGGAAUAAAGUGAGGCACGUGUGCCUUUUUGUAUGUACUUUAUGAAUAAGGAUCGGCUAACUCCGGGCCAGCAGCCGCGGUACUACGGAGGAUCGGAGUGUUAUCCGGAUUUAUUGGGUUUAAAGGGAGCGUAGAUGGGUUGUUAAGUCAGUUGUGAAGGUUUGCGGCUCAACCGUAAAAUUGCAAUUGAUACUGGCAGCCUUGAGUGCAGUUGAGGUAGGCGGAAUUCGUGGUGUAGCGGUGAAAUGCUUAGAUAUCAGGAAGAACACCGAUGGCGAAGGCAGCUUACUAAACUGCCACUGACAUUGAUGCUCGAAAGUGUGGGUAGCAAACAGGAUUAGAUACCCCUGUAGUC
rnacentral:rRNA from 1 species